rnacentral:rRNA from 1 species
GUGCCAGCAGCCGCGGUAAUACGAAGGGGGCUAGCGUUGCUCGGAAUCACUGGGCGUAAAGGGCGCGUAAGCGGCCAUUCAAGUCCGGGGGUGAAAGCCUGUGGCUCAACCACAUAAUUGCCUUCGAUACUGUUUGGCUUGAGUUUGGUAGAGGUUGAGUGGAACUGCGAGUGUAGAGGUGAAAUUCGUAGAUAUUCGCAAGAACACCAGUGGCGAAGGCGGCCAACUGGACCAAUACUGACGCUGAAGCGCGAAAGCGUGGGGAGCAAACAGGAUUAGAUACCCUGGUAGUCC